rnacentral:rRNA from 1 species
GGUUUGAUCAUGGCUCAGAUUGAACGCUGGCGGGAUGCUUUACAUGCAAGUCGAACGGCAGCACGGACUUCGGUCUGGUGGCGAGUGGCGAACGGGUGAGUAAUGUAUCGGAACGUGCCUAGUAGCGGGGGAUAACUACGCGAAAGCGUAGCUAAUACCGCAUACGCCCUUCGAGGAAAGCAGGGGGACCUUCGGGCCUCGCACUAUUAGAGCGGCCGAUAUCGGAUUAGCUAGUUGGUGGGGUAACGGCUCACCAAGACGACGAUCCGUAGCUGGUUUGAGAGGACGACCAGCCACACUGGGACUGAGACACGGCCCAGACUCCUGCAAGGAGGCAGUGGGGAAUUUUGGACAAUGGGGAAACCCUGAUCCAGCCAUCGCGUGUGCGAUGAAGGCCUUCGGGUUGUAAAGCACUUUUGGCAGGAAAGAAACGGCACGGGAUAAUACCCCGUGCAACUGACUGACACCUGCAGAAUAAGCACCGGCUAACUACGUGCCAGCAGCCGCGGUAAUACGUAGGGUGCAAGCGUUAAUCGGAAUUACUGGGCGUAAAGCGUGCGCAGGCGGUUCGGAAAGAAAGAUGUGAAAUCCCAGAGCUUAACUUUGGAACUGCAUUUUUAACACCGAGCUAGGGGUAUGUCAGAGGGAGGUGGAAUUCCGCGUGUAGCAGUGAAAUGCGUAGAUAUGCGGAGGAACACCGAUGGCGAAAGAGGCAGCCUCCCCUGGGAUAACAUGACGCUCAUGCACGAAAGCGUGGGGAGCAAACAGGAUUAAGACCCUGGUAGUCCACGCCCUAAACUGAUGUCAACUAGCUGUUGGGGCCUUCGGGCCUUGGUAGCGCAGCUAACGCGUGAAAGUUGACCGCCUGGGGAGUACGGUCGCAAAGAUUAAAACUCAAAGGAAUUGACAGGGACCCGCACAAGCGGUGGAUGAUGUGGAUUAAUUCGAUGCAACGCGAAAAACCUUACCUACCCUUGACAUGUCUGGAAUCCACGAAGGAUUUGGGAGUGCUCGCAAAGAGAACCGGAACACAGGUGCUGCAUGGCUGUCGUCAGCUCGUGUCGUGAGAUGUUGGGUUAAGUCCCGCAGCGAGCGCAAGCCUUAUUAGUUGCUACGAAAGAGGGCACUCUAAUGAGACUGCCGGUGACAAACCGGAGGAAGGUGGGGAUGACGUCAAGUCCUCAUGGCCCUUAUGGGUAGGGCUUCACACGUCAUACAAUGGUCGGGACAGAGGGUCGCCAACCCGCGAGGGGAGCCAAUCAGAAACCCGAUCGUAGUCCGGAUCGCAGUCUGCAACUCGACUGCGUGAAGUCGGAAUCGCUGGUAAUCGCGGAUCAGCAUGUCGCGGUGAAUACGUUCCCGGGUCUUGUACACACCGCCCGUCACACCAUGGGAGUGGGUUUUACCAGAAGUAGUUAGCCUAACCGUAAGGAGGGCGAUUACCACGGUAGGAUUCAUGACUGGGGUGAAGUCGUAACAUAAGGUAA